GACGAACGCUGGCGGCGUGCCUAAUACAUGCAAGUUGAGCGCUGAAGGUUGGUACUUGUACCAACUGGAUGAGCAGCGAACGGGUGAGUAACGCGUGGGGAAUCUGCCUUUGAGCGGGGGACAACAUUUGGAAACGAAUGCUAAUACCGCAUAAAAACUUUAAACACAAGUUUUAAGUUUGAAAGAUGCAAUUGCAUCACUCAAAGAUGAUCCCGCGUUGUAUUAGCUAGUUGGUGAGGUAAAGGCUCACCAAGGCGAUGAUACAUAGCCGACCUGAGAGGGUGAUCGGCCACAUUGGGACUGAGACACGGCCCAAACGCCUACGGGAGGCAGCAGUAGGGAAUCUUCGGCAAGGGACGAAAGUCUGACCGAGCAACGCCGCGUGAGUGAAGAAGGUUUUCGGAUUGUAAAACUCUGUUGGUAGAGAAGAACGUUGGUGAGAGUGGAAAGCUCAUCAAGUGACGGUAACUACCCAGAAAGGGACGGCUAACUACGUG
rnacentral:rRNA from 1 species